AGCCAUGAACGAAAGUUUGACUAAGUUAUACUAAUACUUUAGGGUUGGUAAAUUUCGUGCCAGCCACCGCGGUCAUACGAUUAACCCAAAUUAAUAGAUACCCGGCGUAAAGAGUGUUUAAGAAGAUAAACAAAAUAAAGAUAAACACCAGCUAAGCUGUAAAAAGCCCCAGCUACCACAAAAUACAUAACGAAAGUAACUUUAGAAUGUCUGAACACACGACAGCUAAGACCCAAACUGGGAUUAGAUACCCCACUAUGCUUAGCCAUAAACUUUAAAAAUCCAACAAACAAGAUUAUUCGCCAGAGUACUACUAGCAAAAGCCUAAAACUCAAAGGACUUGGCGGUGCUUUAUAUCCCUCUAGAGGAGCCUGUUCUAUAAUCGAUAAACCCCGAUAAACCUCACCAACCCUUGCUAAUUCAGCCUAUAUACCGCCAUMUUCAGCAAACCCUAAAAAGGAAGCGCAGUAAGCACAAACAUAUAAACAUAAAAACGUUAGGUCAAGGUGUAGCUAAUGAGUUGGAAAGAAAUGGGCUACAUUUCCUGGUACAGGACAAUUUACGAACAUCCCUGUGAAAUCAGAGAUCAAAGGUGGAUUUAGCAGUAAGUUAAGAAUAGAGAGCUUAACUGAAUAAGGCCAUAAAGCACGCACACACCGCCCGUCACCCUCCUCAAAUAUAGUCAAAAAUUAACCAAUCUAUAACUCACAAAAUUAGGCUUAUAAGAGGAGAUAAGUCGUAACAAGGUAAGCGUACUGGAAAGUGCGCUUGGACAAC
rnacentral:rRNA from 1 species